rnacentral:rRNA from 1 species
AUGUCUAAGUGGAGUAUUAUAAAGCGAAACUGCGAACGGCUCAUUACAACAGAUAUAAUUUACUAGUUCUUGAUCCUAUAUGGAUAACUGCGGUAAUUCUGGAGCCAAUACAUGCAUCAAGCCGCGGCCUUCGGGUUCGUGGUGCAAUUAUUGGAGCAAAACCAGUCUCGUACUGUUUGCUAACUCUGGAUAAUUCUGCUUAUCGCAUGGUCAUGUACCGGCGAAGUUUCUUUCAAGUAUCUGCUUUAUCAACUAUCGUUGGUAGUUUAUUGGACUACCAUGGUGUUGACGGGUAACGGAGAAUCAGGGUUUGACUCCGGAGAGGGAGCCUUAGAAACGGCUACCAUGUCUAAGGAUAGCAGCAGGCGCGAAAAUUACCCAAUAUCAAAACGAUGAGGUAGUGACGAGAAAUAACGAGAUCGUUCUCUUUGAGGUCGAUUAUUGGAAUGAGUACAAUCCAGACAUUUUAACGAGUAUCUACGAGAGGGCAAGUCUGGUGCCAGCAGCCGCGGUAAUUCCAGCUCUCGUAAUGUAUAGAAUUAUUGUUGCGAUUAAAAAGUUCGUAGUUGGAUUGUCACGCAGGCAUGGGUCCACCUUCGUGGUGCGUACUCAAUGCUUGCAUUUUGUUGGUUUUCGCGGCGUCGUUUCGGCGACGUUCGUGAUGCCAGCAGGAUUACUUUGAACGGCUCAAGUGCUUAAAGCGAGUCUUAUGACUGAAUACCGGUGCAUGGAAUAAUGGAACAAGGUUGCGGCCGAGUUUUAUUGGUUUUGUCGGCUGAAACAAUGGUUAACAGGAACAGCCGGGGGUAUUCGUAUCGCUGCGCGAGAGGUGAAAUUCGUGGACCGUAGCGAGACGCCCGACAGCGAAGGCAUUUACCAAGAGUGUUUUCAUUAAUCAAGAACGAAAGUCAGAGGUUCGAAGGCGAUUAGAUACCGCCCUAGUUCUGACCGUAAACGAUGCCAACUGUCGAUCCGCUCUUGGAUCUAAUUCUUGAGCGGGGAGAUUUCCGGAAACGAAAGUUUUUCGGUUUCGGGGGAAGUAUGGUUGCAAAGCUGAAACUUAAAGGAAUUGACGGAAGGGCACCACCAGGAGUGGAGCUUGCGGCUUAAUUUGACUCAACACGGGAAAUCUCACCCGGCCAGUACAUCGUAAGGAUUGACAGACUGACAGCUCUUUCAUGAUUCGGUGAAUGGUGGUGCAUGGCCGUUCUUAGUUCGUGGAUUGAUUUGUCUGGUUUAUUCCGAUAACGAGCGAGACUUUAACUAUUAAAUAGUGCACUUGUUGCUUUGCUGCGAGUGAACACUUCUUAAAGGAAUUUGUGGUUUCCAACCUCAAGAAAUUGAGCAAUAACAGGUCUGUGAUGCCCUUAGAUGUUCGGGGCCGCACGCGUGCUACAAUGGUGGUAACAGCGUGAUUGUCCUUUUCCGACAGGAAUUGGCAAACAGUUGAGAUAUUAUUAUGGCUGGAAUUGAGUGUUGAAAUUUUCUCUCAUGAACGAGGAAUUCCAAGUAAAUGUGAGUCAUUAACUUGCAUUGAUUACGUCCCUGCCCUUUGUACACACCGCCCGUCGCUGCCCGGGACUGAGUUACUUCGAGAAAACUAGGGAUUGUUAAAGUUCAAUGUUUCGGCAUUGUCUUUGAUGCGAACUAGUUUAAUCGCAGUGGCUUGAACCGGGCAAAAGUCGUAACAAGGUAGCCGUAGGUGAACCUUCGGCUGGAUCAUUAACGAUCAGUUACACUUAAUCGAAAACACUGUCGGUUGCACGAAAGUGCGACCGAGACAACCGCAGAGAAACUCUAACGGCUUGGUUUGGCAUCUAUGGAAGGUUGAGCAGUUGUGUCACACGUCCGUGGCUGCGCAUGAUACCGACCGACAGCUUGGCGUACUUGCUAUGUCGAGUGAGAUUCAAUGACCCCGAGAGGGCGCCAAACAAAACACCCAUUAUUUCGUUUAUAUACAUGUUGAAAGUGACUAAAAGUUACUCCGGUGGAUCACUCGGUUUGCGGGUCGAUGAAAAACGCAGUGAAUUGCGAUAAGAAGUACGAAUUACAGAUAUUACGAGUACCAUGUUUUUGAAUGCAUAUUGCGCCGUUGGGCUUUGCUCUUCGGCAUAUGUGAUUCAGGGUAUGUUUACACAACAGCAGAGUCUAUAUUGUGUCUCCGAAUUGGCGGAGUUGGUUUAUUGGACUACUGUUAAUUGCGAGAACGAUGGUUGUUCGUGUGCGGCGCACUUUGCGUCGGCGUUCGGGCAUUCGUCUUUUGCGUGGACAGAAGCGGACGGUGUGCAUUCGUGUAUGCUGUUGGUUUCGGUUGCAUUGUGUGCUGGUGAUUCGUUUGCGAAGCGUUCGACUGCUUUACUGUGGUUGCGUCGAGCUAAACGUUUAAGAGACUGUCGGUUUGGCCGACAAUGGACUUGUGCUAUGGUUUUUUGCUUCGUGCAAUUGUUUGUGCUUGUCUGUUGUUGUUGUCGGACUGUGCGGGUGCUUUCGUCGCAAGGCGUUGGCUGCUUGAACGGCGAGUUGCCUAUAGUUUUAAACUACCUGAGUUACGUAUGAUCACCUGCUGAACUUAAGCAUAUCAGUAAGCAGAGGAAAAGAAACAAACAUGGAUUCCCCCAGUAACUGCGAGUGAAAAGGGAUGAGCCCAGCGCUUAAGGUUUUCGUCUGUUUGGACGGCGACCGGUGUAGCGUAUAGAACUUUCGUUUGGCGACUAUCGGCUGGUCUAAGUUUUGCUGGAAAGCGACGGCAUAGACGGUUUUACCCCGGUAUGGUCGGCUGUAGUUGUCAAGUGGUUGUUCUUGGAGUCGGGUUGUUUGGUAACGCAGCCCAAAGAUGGUGGUAAACUUCACCUAAGGCUAAAUAUGACCGCAAAUCCGAUAGAAAACAAGUACCGUGAGGGAAAGUUGAAAAGUACUUUGAAAAGAGAGUGCAAGAGAACGUGAAACCGGUGUAAUGGAAGCAGAUGGAGUUGACGUAUCUGGUGCGUAUUCAGUUGUUGGUCGCGGUGAUUGCUGGGCUUGUUAUUCCGCAAGGUUGACGGUUCGGUAUUGUCGUUGUGGCUUGCAAUGCAUUUACGUACGGAGUGCGCCGAGUUGUGUGGCGGUGUCAGUCGAAGCGUUUCGAGAGGACAUGGCUUCGGUCGUGAAACCUUGGUGCGUGUAGGUUGGUUGCUGCUGCGCAAUUUUGUGGAGGUACGGGUUUUUCGCGAGUUUUUGCGUUGAUUGGGCCGGUUUGUGUUUCACGCAUGCGUGGGGCGCUUAUGGGUUUAGUUGGCGUGGGAGUUUGCUCUGUACUCUUCUCGGUGUAUAGUCAAUGACCCACCUGACCCGUCUUGAAACACGGACCAAGGAGUUUAUGGUAUACGCGAGUCAUUGGGCUUUGAAACCCAAAGGCGUAAUGAAAGUGAGAUCUUAUUGGUUUUAGUGUGAUCGGUUGUUGUUUCGACGGCGGCCGAGCAACACUGCCCCGUUUCGAGGACUUGUCCUGUUGCGGAGGUUGAGCGUAUGCUAUGAGACCCGAAAGAUGGUGAACUAUGCCUGAACAGGAUGAAGCCAGAGGAAACUCUGGUGGAAGUCCGAAGCGGUUCUGACGUGCAAAUCGAUCGUCUGAUUUUGGUAUAGGGGCGCAAGACUAAUCGAACCAUC